rnacentral:rRNA from 1 species
UGAAUACCAGACGCUACGGCGUUGAAGCAGUGUAUGUCAGACUUCCAAAAAAGCUCGCAAUGUCCGAAAUAAAAUAAUGCCUGUACCAUAACCGACACAGGUGGGUAGGUAGAGUAUACUAAGGGGCGCGAGAUAACUCUCUCUAAGGAACUCGGCAAAAUAACUCCGUAACUUCGGGAGAAGGAGUGCCUUAUUUUAAGGUUGCAAUAACAAGAUCCAAGCAACUGUUUACCAAAAACACAGGUCUCCGCUAAGUCGUAAGACGAUGUAUGGGGGCUGACGCCUGCCCAGUGCCAGAAGGUUAAAGAAGUUGGUUAGCUAUUGCGAAGCUGAUGACUGAAGCCCUGGUGAACGGCGGCCGUAACUAUAACGGUCCUAAGGUAGCGAAAUUCCUUGUCGGGUAAGUUCCGACCCGCACGAAAGGCGUAAUGAUUUGGAUACUGUCUCGGAGAGGGGCUCGGUGAAAUAGACUUGUCUGUGAAGAUGCGGACUACCUGCACCUGGACAGAAAGACCCUAUGAAGCUUUACUGUAACUUGAAAUUGAAAUUGGACUUUAUUUGCGCAGUAUAGGUGGGAGGCGUUUGAAGAUAUUCUUGCGGGAAUGUUGGAGCCAUUAGUGAGAUACCACUCUUGUAAUGUUAGAUUUCUAACUUUGUACCAUAAUCUGGUCAAAGAACAGUUUCAGGCGGGCAGUUUUACUGGGGCGGUCGCCUCCCAAAUGGUAACGGAGGCGUACAAAGGUUUCCUCUGAACGUGUAGAAAUCGUAUCUAGAGUGUAAAGGCAUAAGGAAGCUUGACUGUGAGACCUACAAGUCAAGCAGGGACGAAAGUCGGUCUUAGUGAUCUGACGGUACUGAGUGGAAAGGCCGUCACUCAACGGAUAAAAGUUACUCUAAGGAUAACAGGCUGAUCUCCCCCAAGAGUUCACAUCGACGGGGAGGUUUGGCACCUCGAUGUCGGCUCAUCGCAUCCUGGGGCGGUAGUACGUCCCAAGGGUUGGGCUGUUCGCCCAUGAAAGCGGUACGCGAGCUGGGUUCAGAACGUCGUGAGACAGUUCGGUCCAUAUCCGGUGUAGGCGUUAGAAUAUUGAGAGGAGCCUUCUUUAGUACGAGAGGACCGAGAAGGACAUACCUCUGGUGUACCAGUUAUCGUGCCAACGGUAAACGCUGGGUAGCUAUGUAUGGAGAGGAUAACCGCUGAAAGCAUCUAAGUGGGAAGCCCACCUCGAGAUGAGUAUUCUC